rnacentral:lncRNA from 1 species
GUCCACCAUCCCACAUCAUGUCCACCAUCCCACAUCAUGUCCUCCAUCCCACAUCAUGUCCUCCAUCCCACAUCAUGUCCUCUAUCCGGUGUCAUGUCCACCAUCCCACAUCAUGCCCUCCAUCCUACAUCAUGUCCUCCAUCCCACAUCAUGUCCUCCAUCCAGUGUCAUGUCCACCAUCCCAUGGGUGCUGGUCCAGUUUACACAGCUCUGUUGCUUCUGGCUGCUUAGCCUCAUCUCAGCCUCUGCCCACUUCCACCUUUAUGCUAAUGCCAGGCUGUUGGUAUGGUUUGGGUCUGAUCAACGACUACCUCAGACCUCAAGCUCUGUUUUCGAGUACCACAGGUUUGGAGCAUGCCUUAUCGCCCCCUCCCCAUAUCAUGUAUGGCCCAGCUAUCGAUAUAUCUUUCCUUUUGGCAAUUUAAGCUCAGAG